CACGUAGGGUGCGAGCGUUGUCCGGAUUCAUUGGGCGUAAAGGGCUAGUAGGCGGCUUAGCAAGUCGGGUGUGAAAUUUCCAGGCUUAACCUGGAACCGCCAUCCGAUACUGCUAUGGCUAGAGUCCGGUAGGGGACCACGGAAUACCUGGUGUAGCGGUGAAAUGCGCAGAUAUCAGGUGGAACACCGAUGGCGAAGGCAGUGGUCUGGGCCGGCACUGACGCUGAAUAGCGAAAGCGUGGGUAGCGAACAGG
rnacentral:rRNA from 1 species